UACGUAGGGUGCAAGCGUUAAUCGGAAUUACUGGGAGUAAAGCGUGCGCAGGCGGUUGUGUAAGACAGAUGUGAAAUCCCCGGGCUCAACCUGGGAACUGCAUUUGUGACUGCACAGCUGGAGUGCGGCAGAGGGGGAUGGAAUUCCGCGUGUAGCAGUGAAAUGCGUAGAUAUGCGGAGGAACACCGAUGGCGAAGGCAAUCCCCUGGGCCUGCACUGACGCUCAUGCACGAAAGCGUGGGGAGCAAACAGG
rnacentral:rRNA from 1 species